GAAUGAAUUAAAACAUUGGAAAUACAGAACAAUUGUAACCAACCAUCUUAUUCUGCAUCUUGUUAGCUACGUGCUCAUACAAAGUUUGUCUAACUGACAUAAAAGCUGUCUCUGCCGUUUUGGAAAUAAGCAUGGGUGAUUUUUACUGUACUUUUACCAUAGGCUACCACUUCCUAAAAAUAUUUCUCUAAUUACAGGCAUGAGGAAACAUUUUGUAAGCCUGAACAUUUUGUAAGCCUGAGUAAUAUUGAACAGGAUAUGACCUAAGGGUACAGCAAAUCUAGUUUAAGUUUUUGAAGCUGCGUUUACCUGCCGAUUGAUUUUUUCUGAGGGAACUAGUAUCCAGUGAGCCAGCACGUUUACCUAAGGUGUGAACCAGCUACCAAAGUGUCAACAAUAGUACCAUGGACCUAUGGACCUCUUAUCAACAGUUCUAUCUCUUUUCUCAUCCUCUACCCCCAACCUACACUCAUACCUCAUCCCAAACCAAAUUCUGUUUGACAUCGCCAGUGAGUCCUCAACAAGUCUCAAUGAAGGCACUGUUCGUGAUUGGCUACUGCAAUGUGGAAUAACUUCAGACCGACUCGCUACUUUGUUAACCAAUAGAGUUAACUAUGUAGCCCGAAACUCCACACUGCCUGUGGGAAAGAGGAAGCAAAUGUGGGAAAUGAUAAUCUUCGUACACCUCUAAGGGAGGUCCAAGCAUCGAGUGAUUUGUCUAGGAGGAAGAGGCGAACCGAGCAAUAUUCUAAGAGGCAUGAACGGCGACUCAAGAAGCAGCGGAGUUCAAAUGCUCUCACGUUUCUGGGUGAUGAAGGUUUUGUGCCAGUAGGCGUCUCUGUUGUGAACAAAGAAGAACAAAGAAGACGGAUCACUACUGAGUGAAGAAUUUGUGGGAAAAUCAGAAGAAGAACUGAUACAUAUGAUGCUGUAUGUACCACAUAUCUGGACAAGCAUACCAUGAGAUGGCAGCAAUAUGUAAACAAAAUAAUGCCAAGGCACUAUAGACUUAAAAAAAUAAUCAAUGAAUUGAACUCGUUGUGGAAUCUUUCUCUAACGCCAGAGGGAACCUUUGAGGCCAAACAUGCUUGGAAAUAAUGGCGAGAGUUGUAAUUACAUGUCAUACAGGUUACACAUUUAUGUCAAUGCAUAAUUAUUUAGAUACAUGUCAUACACGUUACACAUGUUUAUUUAUGUCAAUGCAAAUGCAUAAGUUAUUUAUUAGGAAGAGCCUUAGGAAGGGAUUUUAAGUUGUCAUAAGUCAUAUACACACGAGUGUUUUUAGUUAUUCCUGAUACGCUAUCGUAGCGUAGUGGUUGGUAAAUUCAGGAAGUGGUGGAGGUAUUCUUAAUUGAGUGUUGAUUGACGUUCCUUGUUCUAGUUCUAGAAUAUCAUCGCCUCCCUUUGUGUAAUAUUUUCAACGUAGGCAUAGUUGUUGGAAUACAUGUCUCAUGUCAAAGCCCUCCUCACUUCCUCACUUCGACAAAUAAGGAGCGGAUUUGUUGUCCCCGAUUUUUACGUUCCGAGUUGAAUACAUAUCUCUCCCAACCAAAGCCAAAUGUUCUGUACUCUACGUAGUGUUGUUAUUAUUGCUUCUGGCAGAGUCAAUUUGAAGGUUCUUUCUCAUGGCCAGUAAUGAACACACAGUUGCAGACAUACCGAAUUUACUCUAAUAUAACAGUUAUAAAUAUAUUCAUAGUGUUACGUCAUUCAUUUCAGUGUCAUAUCCUGUUUCAUGACACAACAGUCAUCAUAACUAUAAUUAAUAAAGCAUCAUGUCAAAGAGAGAGAGACCCAGUCAAGGAUUCUACACAUUUCUCAACUCUCUUAGCUCUGUAGAUACUUCAACUUAGCUUUAGCAGAGUCUCAGAACUACCUCCUGGGGUUUUCCAAGUAGAACAUAUCUUUCAUCAUAUAGAAAAGCCAAGAAAGGAACUGAGUAUUUAGUCAAGUGGUCAGGCUAUCCAUUGAGCGAGUCGUCCUGGGUCCCUGUUGAAGAUCUUAAUCUGCCGUUCAGUCGUGGACGAAAAUGUGGGCAGGUUCCUGUUGGAAGUUGUACGCAGUUUAAGUGCCAAUUUUCUGUACAUUUUAAAUUAGAUGUUUUAGAUACUUAUUUAGUGGUAAAGGUAGAAGUGUGCCACGUACUAGUAGUAAAUCAUUUGAUUUAACAGAUUUUUGUUUAGAUUUUUUUGUUGGCAAUUGGCAUACUGUGUACGAUGCUGUGUGGACUUUCCAAUCGUGAUGAACUCUAAACUUAGGUAUGGACCAAGAUGUUAUGCAAAAGUGAAGUUGUAUGUAUGUGUUAAUUUGUGCAAGAAACGUUGUUGAUUAAACGAUUAAUAAUAAA